rnacentral:rRNA from 1 species
AGUGAACGCUGGCGGUAGACCUAACACAUGCAAGUCGAAUGGCAGCACAGUAAGAGCUUGCUCUUACGGGUGGCGAGUGGCGGACGGGUGAGGAAUACAUCGGAAUCUACUUUUUCGUGGGGGAUAACGUAGGGAAACUUACGCUAAUACCGCAUACGACCUACGGGUGAAAGCAGGGGAUCUUCGGACCUUGCGCGAUUGAAUGAGCCGAUGUCGGAUUAGCUAGUUGGCGGGGUAAAGGCCCACCAAGGCGACGAUCCGUAGCUGGUCUGAGAGGAUGAUCAGCCACACUGGAACUGAGACACGGUCCAGACUCCUACGGGAGGCAGCAGUGGGGAAUAUUGGACAAUGGGCGCAAGCCUGAUCCAGCCAUACCGCGUGGGUGAAGAAGGCCUUCGGGUUGUAAAGCCCUUUUGUUGGGAAAGAAAAGCAGCAGGUUAAUACCCCGCUGUUCUGACGGUACCCAAAGAAUAAGCACCGGCUAACUUCGUG